UACGGAGGGGACUAGCGUUGUUCGGAAUUACUGGGCGUAAAGCGCACGUAGGCGGCUUUGUAAGUUAGAGGUGAAAGCCCGGAGCUCAACUCCGGAAUUGCCUUUAAGACUGCAUCGCUCGAAUCAUGGAGAGGUGAGUGGAAUUCCGAGUGUAGAGGUGAAAUUCGUAGAUAUUCGGAAGAACACCAGUGGCGAAGGCGACUCACUGGACAUGUAUUGACGCUGAGGUGCGAAAGCGUGGGGAGCAAACAGG
rnacentral:rRNA from 1 species